rnacentral:rRNA from 1 species
GAUGAACGCUGGCGGCGUGCCUAAUACAUGCAAGUCGAGCGAACAGACGAGGAGCUUGCUCCUCUGACGUUAGCGGCGGACGGGUGAGUAACACGUGGAUAACCUACCUAUAAGACUGGGAUAACUUCGGGAAACCGGAGCUAAUACCGGAUAAUAUAUUGAACCGCAUGGUUCAAUAGUGAAAGACGGUUUUGCUGUCACUUAUAGAUGGAUCCGCGCUGCAUUAGCUAGUUGGUAAGGUAACGGCUUACCAAGGCAGCGAUGCGUAGACGACCUGAGAGCGUGAUCACACACACAGGAAGAGAGACACGGUCAAGACUACUGCGAGAGGCAGCAGUCGGGAAUCUUACGCAAGGAGGGAAAGCGUGACGGAGCAACGCAGCGUGAGUGAUGAAGGUCUUCGGAUCGUAAAACUCUGUAAUUAGGGAAGAACAAAUGUGUAAGUACCUAUGAACGUCUUGACGGUACCUAAUCAGAAAGCCACGGCUAACUACGUG